rnacentral:rRNA from 1 species
GAUGAACGCUGGCGGCGUGCCUAAUACAUGCAAGUCGAGCGAACGGACGAGAAGCUUGCUUCUCUGAUGUUAGCGGCGGACGGGUGAGUAACACGUGGAUAACCUACCUAUAAGACUGGGAUAACUUCGGGAAACCGGAGCUAAUACCGGAUAAUAUUUUGAACCGCAUGGUUCAAAAGUGAAAGACGGUCUUGCUGUCACUUAUAGAUGGAUCCGCGCUGCAUUAGCUAGUUGGUAAGUUAACGGCUUACCAAGGCAACGAUGCAUAGCCGACGUGAGAGGGUGAUCGGCCACACGGGAGGUGAGACAGGGACCAGACUCCUACGGGAGGCAGCAGUAGGGAAUCUUCCGCAAUGGGCGAAAGCCUGACGGAGCAACGCCGCGUGAGUGAUGAAGGUCUUCGGAUCGUAAAACUCUGUUAUUAGGGAAGAACAUAUGUGUAAGUAACUGUGCACAUCUUGACGGUACCUAAUCAGAAAGCCACGGCUAACUACGUG